AUUGAACGCUGGCGGAAUGCUUUACACAUGCAAGUCGAACGGCAGCACGGACUUCGGUCUGGUGGCGAGUGGCGAACGGGUGAGUAAUGUAUCGGAACGUGCCCAGUCGUGGGGGAUAACGUAGUGAAAAUUACGCUAAUACCGCAUACGAUCUAUGGAUGAAAGCGGGGGAUCGCAAGACCUCGCGCGAUUGGAGCGGCCGAUAUCAGAUUAGGUAGUUGGUGGGGUAAAGGUCCACCAAGCCAACGAUCUGUAGCUGGUCUGAGAGGACGAGCAGCCACACUGGAAUUGAGACACGGUCCAGACUCCUACGGGAGGCAGCAGUGGGGAAUUUUGGACAAUGGGCGAAAGCCUGAUCCAGCCAUUCCGCGUGCAGGAUGAAGGCCCUCGGGUUGUAAACUGCUUUUGUACAGAACGAAAAGGUUUCUACUAAUACUAGGAGCUCAUGACGGUACUGUAAGAAUAAGCACCGGCUAACUACGUGCCAGCCGCCGCCGUAA
rnacentral:rRNA from 1 species